rnacentral:rRNA from 1 species
CAACGUGGGGAUCUGCCCAGUAGUGGGGAACAACUCCUCGAAAGAGGAGCUAAUACCGCAUACGGUCUCUCUUAGCCGAGAAGACUAAAGCCUCGUAAGGGGCGCUAUUGGAGGAACCUGCGGCUGAUUAGCUAGUUGGUGGGGUAAAGGCCUACCAAGGCGAUGAUCAGUAGCUGGUCUGAGAGGACGAUCAGCCACACUGGGACUGAGACACGGCCCAG